rnacentral:rRNA from 1 species
AUACGAAUGGAGCAAGCGUUGUUCGGAAUCACUGGGCUUAAAGCGUAUGUAGGCGGAAACGAAAGUCAGGAGUGAAAUCCCAGGGCUCAACCCUGGAACUGCCUUUAAUACUGCUAGUCUUGAGUUCGAGAGAGGUAAGUGGAAUUCCGAGUGUAGAGGUGAAAUUCGUAGAUAUUCGGAGGAACACCAGUGGCGAAGGCGGCUUACUGGCUCGAUACUGACGCUGAGGUGCGAAAGUGUGGGGAGCAAACAGGAUUAGAUACCCUGGUAGUCCACGCCGUAAACGAUGUCUACUAGCCGUUGGGUUGUAAUGACUUAGUGGCGAAGCUAACGCGAAUAAGUAGACCGCCUGGGGAGUACGGCCGCGAGGUUAAAACUCAAAAUGAAUUGACGGGGGCCCGCACAAGCGGUGGAGCAUGUGGUUUAAUUCGAAGCAACGCGAAGAACCUUACCUACUCUUGACAUCCAUAGAAUUUAGCAGAGAUGCUUUAGUGCCUUCGGGAACGUAU